AUGAGACGGCGGCGGAUUAGGUUGUUGGCGGGGUAAUGGCCCACCAAGCCGACGAUCCGUAGGGGCCGUGAGAGCGGUAGCCCCGAGAAGGACACUGAGAUACUGGUCCUAGCCCUACGGGGUGCAGCAGGCGCGAAACCUUUACAAUGCACGAAAGUGUGAUAAGGGAACCCUAAGUGCUCAUGUUUUACAUGGGCUUUUGCCAAGAAUAAAUAUCUUGGCGAAUAAGUGGUGGGAAAGACUGGUGCCAGCAGCCGCGGUAACACCAGCGCCACAAGUAGGGACCACUACUAUUGGGCCUAAAGCGUCCGUAGCCGGCUGAAUAAAUUUCUUGUGAAAUUGUUGGGCUUAACCUAACAACGUGCAGGAAAAACUGUUCAGCUUGGAACCGGGAGAAGUCAGGAGUAUGCUGGGGGGAGCGGUAAAAUGUUAUAAUUCCCGGUAGACUACCAGUGGCGAAGGCGCCUGACUAGAACGGAUUCGACGGUGAGGGACGAAAGCCAGGGGAGCGAAGCGGAUUAGAUACCCGUGUAGUCCUGGCCGUAAACGCUGCGAGCUAGGUGUUGCAUAUUCUACAUGAAUAUGCAGUAUCGAAGCGAAGGUGAUAAGCUCGCCGCCUGGGAAGUAUGGUCGCAAGGCUGAAACUCAAAGGAAUUGGCGGGGGAGCACUACAAGGGGUGCGGCGUGCGGUUUAAUCUAAUUCAACGCAGAGAAUCUCACCAGAAGCGACGGCAGGAUGAAAGUCAGGCUAAAGGUCUUACUUGACGAGCCGAGAGGUAGUGCAUGGCCGCCGUCAGCUCGUGCUGUAAAGUGUCCUGUUAAGUCAGACAACGAGCGAGACCUGCAUCUACAAUUGCUAACGGAUUCUUUAGAAUGACUGAGCACAUUGUGGAGACUGCCCUGGAAACAGGGAGGAAGGUGCAGGCUACGGUAGGUCUGUAUGCUCCGAAUCUUCUGGGCUACACGCGCGCAACAAUGGUAAGGACAAUGGGAUGCGACUCCGAAAGGAGGAGCUAAUCCUCGAAACCUUAUCCAAGUCUAGAUUGAGGAUUGUAACUCAUCCUCAUGACAAUGGAAUCCCUAGUAAUCAGAGUUUAUCAUACUCCGGUGAACAUGUCCCUGCUCCUUGCACACACCGCCCGUCAAGCCACCCGAGUAGGGUUUAGGUGAGAGGUAAAUUUUAUUUGCAUCGAACCUAAGCUCAGCGAGGAGGGCUAAGUCGUCACAAGGUA
rnacentral:rRNA from 1 species